rnacentral:pre_miRNA from 1 species
UUUGUUCACUCUCCCUCAAAGGUUUCCGACAUUAUUUUCUUAUUUUUUGUUUAUAUUGUAGCUAGCACCUGAGGCCUUUGAAGAGAGUGAACAA